rnacentral:sRNA from 1 species
CCUUGGCGCCCCACGCCGUUGAUCCUCCAGUCCUCCGCCUGCAGCUGCGCCGGCCUGGACGCGCGGACCACCAGGUGCUGCAGGUCCCUCCAGCGCCAGGGCGAUCAUGCCAGCGGCCAGCGGGGCGGAGGCCGAGGUGCCCGUGUGCUUGUCGGUGCAUUGAUGGUGUAGGUCCGUGGUGACCUGGGGACAGACAGCAGAGGGACCUUGAUCUCCGUGCGCAGCCCAGAUGGGAAACUUGUGUGGAAGGUACUGGGGACUGAGUACAAAGUGCUGAACAUCAGCUUAAGUACGAGACUAAGCUGGGGAAACACAUGAAUGACUAAGCCCAAAAGGUACUGCGAGGGCCUGGUGACGCAGGAAUUUAAUUCCAGCACUCACUGGGGCAGAAGCUGGGACUUUUGGCCUAGACUGGUCUACACUGUGAGCACCUGGCUCAAAUAAAGAAUGCUAACGACCAAGUUUAGCAAGUACUGAGGACUAAGUCCCUGAGGACUAAGGGUCUGCUAAGGACUAAAUUCCAAAACCACUGAGCACUGAGUUCAAAAGGAUACAUGGCCCUACAUCUAAAAAGUGCCAAGACUCAAGACUUCAAGGUCCCAGGAACACAUGAUACUCUGCGUCUAGCUCACCGGUUCUCAUCGUUGG